GCACUUGAUGAUGAAGACGUGAUCUCUUAUGUCCUAGCUGGACUAGAUGAGGAAUUUGAACCAGUCGUGUCGUCCAUCGUCGGACGACCGGAUCCAAUCUCUUUCGCCGAGAUGUACUCACAGCUCCUUAGCUUUGAGU
rnacentral:snoRNA from 1 species